rnacentral:rRNA from 1 species
UGGGGAAUAUUGGACAAUGGGCGAAAGCCUGAUCCAGCCAUGCCGCGUGAGUGAUGAAGGCCCUAGGGUUGUAAAGCUCUUUUGUGCGGGAAGAUAAUGACGGUACCGCAAGAAUAAGCCCCGGCUAACUUCGCGCCAGCAGCCGCGGUAACACGAAGGGGGCUAGCGUUGCUCGGAAUCACUGGGCGUAAAGGGUGCGUAGGCGGGUUUCUAAGUCAGAGGUGAAAGCCUGGAGCUCAACUCCAGAACUGCCUUUGAUACUGGAAGUCUUGAGUUCGGGAGAGGUGAGUGGAACUGCGAGUGUAGAGGUGAAAUUCGUAGAUAUUCGCAAGAACACCAGUGGCGAAGGCGGCUCACUGGCCCGAUACUGACGCUGAGGCACGAAAGCGUGGGGAGCAAAC